AGUGGUUAAGGGCCUCUUGCUCCUUAACCAAGGUCUCGGGUUCGAGCCUUGGGAAUGGAAAAAAUCUCAACUGGGAGGGAUGCUGCCCAUCGAGAUACCCAUGCAAACUCCCACGGGAGAUUACCUCGCCAAAGGCGGUGGGAACUCCUCGUAGUAGAACCAAAAAAUAAAGGCGGGACCAAAACCUACUGGCCUUUUGUCUUAUUCUUUAACUCGCACAUGUUACAAUUAAAAUCGAAAAGAAAAAGCAAGAAGUACUCCGUAUAUACGUAGCACAAGUACUUAUUCUUCCCUAGUCAAAUAAGGUACUCCGUAUAAGAUUAGGAAUAUGCUUAUUCGCUUAUUCUCAAUAAAUCGUUACAUUUUCCCUUACAAUCCUCCGACUUUUAAAUUGUCUAGAAUGUUAAAUCGGGCACAGAUAUAUGAUUAAUUCGUGCGGGUAUCAUUUCAUCUUACCUUAAAAAAAAUUAAUAAAUUGCUACAGAUCUAUUUUUAUUCUUUGGUUGGGUUGUCUUUUAAGCGAGUCGUGACUAUCAGGAGUGAUGACAAAAACUUGGCUUCUACCAUUGAAGUAAAGACAUGGUGAUUAAAACUGAGCGCUUGUGUUUGUGAAGACCUGCGGGAAGCAAAAGUGGUUGAAGCAAAGGUCGUGCUCUUGGGGGUGCAUCUGGCGACAAAAGCAUGGCUAAGAUAAUGUAGUUGUGGAGAGUGACUGUGUGAAUGUGAUCAUUGCAAUCCGCAAGCACGAGGAAGGGCACAGCCAUUUCCACCUUAUUUUAGAUGAUAUUUAUCAUGUUUCCAAUUCAUUUUAUACUAUUUCUUGGUCUUUUGUUGGUAGAAGUAGUGAUAUUGUUACCCGCAAGCUCGCUCGUUAAUUGUCGUGGGUCAAUGGUUGGAGCUUGUAGGGUAGUAAUCUCCCGUCAAGUGUUUUUUGUGUGUUUGAGUGGUAAUAUUUUAAGCAAUGAGAAUUAAGUGUCUUUUACUUAUUUUUUUUGUUAACCCCAUUAACAACUUUUACGAAAAUAAAUGAUUGAAUGUCUAAUUUGCAAAAUAGGAAUGACUAAGAUUUUUUAAAAAAAACUAAUUUCAAAUAAGAAACUCAAUUUUUAUUUUUAUUAUAUUUUACAUCAUCUAUUUAAGAGAAAUGUCUAGUUAAAUAAAAUUUAAAAUAAAAAGGUAAGCAAAGUAGUAAAGUUAAUUAAGUACUAAAUUAAGUGAAUAAAGAAAAGAUAAAAAGUAUAUCAACCAUAUUUUACCUUGAGGACUAAAUCGUCUUUUUAAAUUACCCAUACAAUCCUCUAAUUGAAAAAGCUACAUGGAGCAACUUUUUGAAUUAGAGGAUUCAUCCCAAUCCUUUAUUUCAAUAUUCUUACUUCCAGACAUCUACAUUAGAAGAUUGAAUUGGCCAAACCUUUAAAUUGACCAAAUCCUCUAAUUUUUGGUAAAUUCUCUAACAACCAAACACAACCUAAAUCCGUAAUAGUGAUAUUAUAAGCUAGUAGCCUAGUAGUCAACUAGUCAUGGGCUUGAUUAAGGCAAGAUUGGUCCCUUAGGAUACUUUCAUCAUUUUAUUAGCAACUAGUGUGUGGCCCGGGGGUUGCUCCGGGUUUUAUCUUAAUGGGGUUUACUUUUUGUAAAUAUGUGUCUGUACAGGUGGUGUCAUUAACGGAUUGCGGUGGUGGUGUGAGAUCAACAACCGAUAAACAACCUUACAAUCUAUGCCCCAUAUCCGGGAAAAAAAAGAAGUUUAUUCCUUUUCUUCAUAAUUAGUUGAUUAUUAUACCUACAUCAAUGUUUCUCUCUUCUGCACUAAUAAUUACGAAGUACACUCUAUUUCCACAAGUUUUCAAAGCAUAAGAUGGAAAGGGAUCGGAAGAAUUUGUACAUCUAUAAGUUUAAUAAUUUAUUCCCUUUUGUUUUUUCGGAUUCAUUUUUAUUUAAUUUAUUACUAUUCAUUUAAAAAUAUUAUAUUUUGUAUUUACAUGGAAAUAUAUAACAUAUAUUGUAUCUAGCUGAGAUGGUAAGAAGAGUAACUUUUAAUUCAUGAGGUGCGGUGUUCGAACCUGGCUACAUGCUUUUUGGUUGUCAUUGACAUGUCAUGAUGCUUGUUAAUAGUGACGUGGCGUAAUAAGGAGAGACCUACGUGGCACAUAUACGUUUAUAAUAUAUUAGUAUAGAUUGGGCUAGGAGACUUCCGACCUGGGCCAAUCCCAAGAAAUUUUGAACUCGAUUGCAAGAGAUGGCCACAUUUGACGUCAUUAGGGGAUUAACCGGUAGGAAUAUGGACAAAGGUAGCAAUUGACAUCAAUUAUUAUAGACUAGCUUCCGAGCUCGUUCAAUGAACGGGCAAUUAUAUACAGUGGUUGAUAAACAAUAUUUUAAAGUGCUAAUUUUGUUGAACGCUUGUGAUUUUAGUGAGAAUAUAUGCUUUAGAUAGAGUUAGAAUUUAAAAGUUGAAAAAAAUAUAUGAAUUGAAUGGUAAAUUGAUGAGGAAGAUGAAGUGGAAGAGGUGUUGAAACUGUAAAAUACUACGUAUAACAAAUAACAAAAGGAAAAAAAAUGUGAAAAAGAAUAAAUUAAUGUAUGAAAGAUGGGGAUGACACAUGUCAUGCAUAUAAUAAUCUAUGGUCUUCCUUUUUAAAUACUAGGUAUAGAUAGAUAGAUAGAUAUAUGUAGUAAUUAAAAAUCUUUAACAAACUAGGUAACAAUUAACAAAUUUUCUAAUUUGGUACAUCAAAAUCGUUCCCCGGCUGAUAAUCUGGUAUACUCCCUAUUUCCUUAAAAGGAUAUAUUUUAUCAUUUUGUUAAUAAUUGGGCCAGAAUAUGGGUCAGGCGCAAAUAGGCCCAAACUGAGUCGCAUGGGAUGGUUGAUCACAUAUUUAAUAAUUAAUAUAUAGAUAGGUAUGCACCCAUCUAUGCGUGCAUAUGCAAUUAAACGUCCGUGUUUUUGGGGAAAAAAUCACAUGCCUAUUCUAUAUAAAAUACCCAUUUUCUCUCUCCUCUAACCUCUCACCAUUUUCUGAAUCAUCAAAAACCUCUCACUCUCUCUCCUCCAUUGAUGUCACUCCUUCUCUCUCCUCCCAAACAAUCCAGCCUUCUCCCCUCCACUUUUCGUCGCCGCCGUCGAUUUUCUCUAGCUACGACCAAACAACCGCGCCACCUCCCACGCGAGCCACCGCCUUCUCCGCCUUCUCCGCCACCGGCGCUAACGCCUUCUCCGAACAUCGACGAACGCUUCUCCGAACGUCGUCGCUAACGCCGAAGAAAUCUGACCUAAAAAUAGUUAGCCGAAAGUUAAAGGCCUUGGAAAUGAUGAACUCUAUGAAAGUAAUCUAGCUUCUGUGUGUAAGUUGUAAAGGAAGAAAAAGUUCAAUAAGCAUGCGACAACAAAAGAAGAAGGUUGAUUUAGAAAUGGAAGAUAUGGUAUUAAGAGAGGCUGUAAGAAUUGAAGAAGAAUUGAAGGCAGGAGCAACCAAAAAAUAAUCUACAAAUAAGUAAGAAAAAGAAAGAGAAAAGAGAUCGUUGUAGCGAAAAAAGUGGAAGCCGGAAGGAAGGAAGCUGAAAAAUUAGAAGCCUAGAAAGAGAAGAUGCAACAACCACUAAAAUAGAGGAUGGAGAUAGAAAAUAAAUGUCAUGUUCAGAACAUUAAAUUACUUUAGAUGUCCAUUUUUUUGUUCCUUAUGUGUGCUUCCAACUUACUAAAAUAAUGAGAUGUUUUUUUCUGCAAAACAUGUGUAAUAAAAAAUUUAAAUUUAUUUUUUAUUUUUUUUAUUUUUUUAAAAAAGGAAACAUAAUAAUGCACUAAAAAAAGAAGGUUGAAACUACUAAAACGAAGCAUUGAAGCUCAUAUGCAUGCAGAA